rnacentral:rRNA from 1 species
GUCUACAGCCAUGCCACCCUGAAUAAGCCUGAUGUCUGAUCUCAGAAGCUAAGCAGGGUUGGGCCUGGUUAGUACUUGAAUGGGAGACCACCUAAGAAGACCAGGUGCUGUAGGCA